UACAGAGGAGCCAAGCGUUGUCCGGAUUGACUGGGCGUAAAGCGCACGCAGGCGGGGGUGCGCGUGGGGGGUGAAAUCUGGCCGCUUAACGGCCAGGCGCCAUCCCAUACGGCACGCCUGGAGCCUUGCAGAGGUCGGUGGAAUUGCCGGUGUAGUGGUGAAAUGCGUAGAGAUCGGCAGGAACACCCAGGGGGAAACUAGCCGACUGGGCAAGUGCUGACGCUGAGGUGCGAGAGCGUGGGGAGCGAACCGG
rnacentral:rRNA from 1 species